UUAAGCGACUAAGCGUACACGGUGGAUGCCCUGGCAGUCAGAGGCGAUGAAGGACGUGCUAAUCUGCGAAAAGCGUCGGUAAGGUGAUAUGAACCGUUAUAGCCGGCGAUGUCCGAAUGGGGAAACCCAGUGUGAUUCGUCACACUAUCGUUAACUGAAUACAUAGGUUAACGAGGCGAACCGGGGGAACUGAAACAUCUAAGUACCCCGAGGAAAAGAAAUCAACCGAGAUUCCCCCAGUAGCGGCGAGCGAACGGGGAGCAGCCCAGAGUCUGAAUCAGCUUGUGUGUUAGUGGAACGGUCUGGAAAGUCCGACGGUACAGGGUGAUAGUCCCGUACACCAAAAUGCACAGGUUGUGAACUCGAAGAGUAGGGCGGGACACGUGGUAUCCUGUCUGAAUAUGGGGGGACCAUCCUCCAAGGCUAAAUACUCCUGACUGACCGAUAGUGAACCAGUACCGUGAGGGAAAGGCGAAAAGAACCCCGGCGAGGGGAGUGAAAAAGAACCUGAAACCGUGUACGUACAAGCAGUGGGAGCACCUUCGGGUGUGACUGCGUACCUUUUGUAUAAUGGGUCAGCGACUUAUAUUCUGUAGCAAGGUUAACCGUAUAGGGGAGCCGCAGGGAAACCGAGUCUUAACUGGGCGUUAAGUUGCAGGGUAUAGACCCGAAACCCGGUGAUCUAGCCAUGGGCAGGUUGAAGGUUGGGUAACACUAACUGGAGGACCGAACCGACUAAUGUUGAAAAAUUAGCGGAUGACUUGUGGCUGGGGGUGAAAGGCCAAUCAAACCGGGAGAUAGCUGGUUCUCCCCGAAAGCUAUUUAGGUAGCGCCUCGUGAAUUCAUCUUCGGGGGUAGAGCACUGUUUCGGCUAGGGGGUCAUCCCGACUUACCAACCCGAUGCAAACUACGAAUACCGAAGAAUGUUAUCACGGGAGACACACGGCGGGUGCUAACGUCCGUCGUGAAGAGGGAAACAACCCAGACCGCCAGCUAAGGUCCCAAAGUCAUGGUUAAGUGGGAAACGAUGUGGGAAGGCACAGACAGCCAGGAUGUUGGCUUAGAAGCAGCCAUCAUUUAAAGAAAGCGUAAUAGCUCACUGGUCGAGUCGGCCUGCGCGGAAGAUGUAACGGGGCUAAACCAUGCACCGAAGCUGCGGCAGCGACACUAUGUGUUGUUGGGUAGGGGAGCGUUCUGUAAGCCUGCGAAGGUGUGCUGUGAGGCAUGCUGGAGGUAUCAGAAGUGCGAAUGCUGACAUAAGUAACGAUAAAGCGGGUGAAAAGCCCGCUCGCCGGAAGACCAAGGGUUCCUGUCCAACGUUAAUCGGGGCAGGGUGAGUCGACCCCUAAGGCGAGGCCGAAAGGCGUAGUCGAUGGGAAACAGGUUAAUAUUCCUGUACUUGGUGUUACUGCGAAGGGGGGACGGAGAAGGCUAUGUUAGCCGGGCGACGGUUGUCCCGGUUUAAGCAUGUAGGCUGGUUGUCCAGGCAAAUCCGGAUAAUCAAGGCUGAGGUGUGAUGACGAGGCACUACGGUGCUGAAGUAACAAAUGCCCUGCUUCCAGGAAAAGCCUCUAAGCAUCAGGUAACAUUAAAUCGUACCCCAAACCGACACAGGUGGUCAGGUAGAGAAUACCAAGGCGCUUGAGAGAACUCGGGUGAAGGAACUAGGCAAAAUGGUGCCGUAACUUCGGGAGAAGGCACGCUGGUGUGUAGGUGAAGCCCCUGCGGGUGGAGCUGAGACCAGUCGAAGAUACCAGCUGGCUGCAACUGUUUAUUAAAAACACAGCACUGUGCAAACACGAAAGUGGACGUAUACGGUGUGACGCCUGCCCGGUGCCGGAAGGUUAAUUGAUGGGGUUAUCCGUAAGGAGAAGCUCUUGAUCGAAGCCCCGGUAAACGGCGGCCGUAACUAUAACGGUCCUAAGGUAGCGAAAUUCCUUGUCGGGUAAGUUCCGACCUGCACGAAUGGCGUAAUGAUGGCCAGGCUGUCUCCACCCGAGACUCAGUGAAAUUGAACUCGCUGUGAAGAUGCAGUGUACCCGCGGCAAGACGGAAAGACCCCGUGAACCUUUACUAUAGCUUGACACUGAACAUUGAGCCUUGAUGUGUAGGAUAGGUGGGAGGCUUUGAAGCGUGGACGCCAGUCUGCGUGGAGCCAACCUUGAAAUACCACCCUUUAAUGUUUGAUGUUCUAACGUUGGCCCCUUACCGGGGUUGCGGACAGUGUCUGGUGGGUAGUUUGACUGGGGCGGUCUCCUCCCAAAGCGUAACGGAGGAGCACGAAGGUUAGCUAAUCCUGGUCGGACAUCAGGAGGUUAGUGCAAUGGCAUAAGCUAGCUUGACUGCGAGCGUGACGGCGCGAGCAGGUGCGAAAGCAGGUCAUAGUGAUCCGGUGGUUCUGAAUGGAAGGGCCAUCGCUCAACGGAUAAAAGGUACUCCGGGGAUAACAGGCUGAUACCGCCCAAGAGUUCAUAUCGACGGCGGUGUUUGGCACCUCGAUGUCGGCUCAUCACAUCCUGGGGCUGAAGUAGGUCCCAAGGGUAUGGCUGUUCGCCAUUUAAAGUGGUACGCGAGCUGGGUUUAGAACGUCGUGAGACAGUUCGGUCCCUAUCUGCCGUGGGCGCUGGAGAAUUGAGGGGGGCUGCUCCUAGUACGAGAGGACCGGAGUGGACGCAUCACUGGUGUUCGGGUUGUCAUGCCAAUGGCACUGCCCGGUAGCUAAAUGCGGAAGAGAUAAGUGCUGAAAGCAUCUAAGCACGAAACUUGCCCCGAGAUGAGUUCUCCCUGAGACUUUAAGUCUCCUGAAGGAACGUUGAAGACGACGACGUUGAUAGGCCGGGUGUGUAAGCGCAGCGAUGCGUUGAGCUAACCGGUACUAAUGAACCGUGAGGCUUAACCUU
rnacentral:rRNA from 1 species